CGCGGCCCGGCUCCUCCUCGCUGCAUUUUAAUUCCUGGCCACUGUGGCCGCUGCACACCGAGCCGGGAGCCUCUCGCUGGAGUUGACGGGGUUGGGGAGGGUGAGAGGAACUUCUCUGGUGUACCCCAGCCCUCCCUUGAAAGCAACAGCUGCUCCAGCCUCCUCCGUUCCUACCUCCUCCACCAGGAGAGGGAGAAGAGAAAGCCAAGCCGGUCCUGGACAGGAGACUCUGAUGCUCCCAUUCCAGCGGAUGUCUGAUCAUAUCAUCUUCCCUUCCUGGAUGGGCCCAGGGUCAUCCACUAAUCUCUGGAAACUUUCCAUCCUUAAAUUUGUUUUUUUAAAACAUCUAACCUGCACUUGUUUGGGACACUGAAUAGGUGUGUUGUGGAUGUCUAGCUGGACUUCAUAGCUGAGAUUAGGGAGGUGAGUACUGGCCCAAGAUCACAUAUCCUGGGCAGUGGGGCUGAGUCAGCACCCAGGUCUCCAAAGUGCUGCUUCUUUCUAUUGUUCCACAGCCCUUAUGCUUUUUGUCCUCUGUCAAGACCCAUAGGAUCUCGUUCCCAUGGUUCCCUGAUGAUAUAAGGUACACAGUAGGACUCGCCUCUAUUUCCCAAGCCAUUGACUCAUUGGAGCCUCACUGGGACAGGUGACACUUUGAACCCUAUUACUCCAUGGGAUGAAAUUUUUCUAGACAUUUUGCAGAGUAUAUUUGUUGAGUGAGACAGAGAGAAUGGAUCCUGAGGCUGGGAAGGUGCCUCAAUGGGAGAAAGAGCAAAAGGGGUCCUUUGGGGGCAGGAGACUUGGGGAAGGAAGGAAAGACUUGGGAGUGGAGAGGAAUUUCACCUCCACUGCAACAGUGAAUUAGGGACAAUUCAGAUAAAUCUGUCCAAUGAGCAGUGGGUGUCCAAGGAGGAGGGAAGUGGUGGCAGGUGGCCCUUCCCUCCCCACUGUCCUGCAGAGCAUCCCUUGGGCUAGCCACACUCUGCUGCUGGACUCUGGGGUUCGUGUCUCCUACUCACACACACCCAGCAACACAUACACAGAUAUAAGCACACUACACACAUGAGGACACAUACGCACAUACAAGAAAAAGUACAUGACACACAUACAUGCCAGCAUACACCACAUAACACAAACUACUCACAAACACAUGCACAUGUACCACUCAACACAUGCACAUAGGACACGCAUGUGCAUAUUUCAAACAUAUACACAUUACUUGCUCUUUAUAGGUGAUGUAUCAUAUAUACAUCUGUAUGUUACAUGCAACACACAUGUAUAAACAUGUACAUGCAUUACGUACAGACACACAACUGCACACCUAGGGCCUCUUCUUGUUCAUCUAGGGAAGAAACUUUCACAGCUUGCUGCUGCUGAGAUUCUACUUUGGAUUUGAUGUGUCAGGAAUGUUUGCUGUUAGCUUUGGUGGGAGGGUUUUGUGGCUGCCAAGGGCACUGGGGCCUGUGGCAAAGGGUUGUACUCCAAAGUUCUGGGCUUGGUCUCAGGGCUCUGUCCAGAAGAUACCUAAACUAAGGUGUGACCCAAAACUAAGGUGCAGUGGACUUGUGGCCUCAGUGCAGUUAUAGUGAAGCAGCUGGGAUAGGCAUGUUCCAGCUCCCAGAACCCUCACUCUGGAGUGUCAUGCAGCUCCAUUUUAUAAAAAGCCUUUAAAACAUUUUAUGAUUUUGAUUUGUUUGGCUGUUGUGGGAUUUUUCUUUCUUGGCAGUUUCCCUCUUGAAAUGUAUGCCUGCUACUUUGGAUUGACUGUCUUCUCUGCCAUGAGUUUUCUUGUACAUUCUCCAGAUGGGCAGCUUGCUUAGGGAGAGGGGAUGUCCUGUUUAGAUCCAAAGGGUGUUGGCACCGAAAUCAGAAAAAGAGACACAGCAGUAAUCAUCCCAAGCGGAGACUGGCGGCUCUCUACAUGGCUCAUGUGUGCAGCAUGUUCCCAGUGUACCUAAGAUACCCUGGACCCUGGUAGCAAGCACCCUGUGCCUACCCUGGUGAAGUUCUGCUCUUUCCUCCAAUCCCAUCCUAAGUUUUGCCUCUAAUGCAAUGCUUUUUCUUGAUUCUUUUGGUCUUUCUUCCCCAAUGAACCCAAAACACUUUGUAUUGAUACCUCCAUAACAGACUUUUGUCAUCACAUUUGUCAUUGCUUGUAUCCAGACUUUUGUUAUAGAUUAUGAGCUCUUUAUGAGGACAGAGAUUCUAUCCCAUUUAUGUUUGUGUUUCUGCCCAUUAGCACAGUGUCUUAGCUCAUUGAAUUAACACACUGAUACAGAGUAACAGGGGAAAAGAAAGUAACAUUUCUUGAAUAACUGUUAUAUGCCAGGCAUAAAAGUAGGCAUAGUUUUUCUUUCAUAUUCAAACCUUGUGGGGAAGGAAUUUUUACCUUUUUUCUCCAGUUCUGGGAAUUGAACCCAGAUUCUUUCUGAUGCUAUGCAAGCACCUUACUACUGAGCUACAACCUUAGUCUUUUGCCUUCUUUUUGCUGUUGUUGAACAAAAGGUAGGAGGAUAGUAUUUGAAUACCAUUCUCAGUCUUUCCAAAGUCCAGGAUUUCCCCUCUCCAUUAUGUUUCUUUCCAAAGUACUGUAUUAUGACAAAUAAUAAUAACUGUAACAAUGCGGUUUCUAAGUGCUAAGAUCUCUCCUGAGUGUUUUAUACUAAACACAAGUGUCAUCAGUGCUCUCAGUGUUUAACCUCAGAAUAAUCCUGCUAGAUAAAUACUAAGAUUUUCUCUGUUUCAAAGAGGGGAAACCUUUACCACAGAGAGGUUACAUUAUUAGCUCAAAGCCCUACAGCAACUAAAGGAGGGGACAGCUUUGGCAUCUAAACAGUUGGGCUCCAUUCCAUGUGCUCUCAAAGAAUGGCUCCUGUGAAUUAGCUUCCACAGCCCAGUGGACUCCGCUGGCCAGGAAAACAAAUUUACGAGGCAGUGGAUGAGCCAACCCACAUAACCUCUCCACCAAGAAAUUAGAAUUUAGCACUGUGGUUUCCCAAUAAUAAGAUUUUAAGAAAAAUUUCCUUUGCUUGUUUACCUCUACGACGUCUGCUGCUCCACACCUGGCAUUGUGCACAGAGGAGUACAAAGGUCUGAUUGCAUAUUCUGUGGUGUGACCACUGCCACAGUUCAUAAGCUCUUUUCUCCAAUGAAAUGAGUAUUUUGGGGCAGGAGGAGGUCAGUGUAUGUCACUGCAGUUCUUUGUGUAAUAUAAUUUUAGAAGCUGGCACUUUUUUUUGGCUUGAUUAGGCUUUAUUAAAUCCUAGCAUUCCUGUUUACCCGCAGUUCCUAUGACUCAGGGGUUGGGAAUGGCACAGUAGCUGAAAUACCACUUAUCCCUGAGCCCUUCCAGCUGCUGGAAUCCGUUCUCUGCAUCCUGCCUGCAGUAGUGCACUGGGAACUCUUCUAUCUUAGAACAUAUUGCAUUGCAUUGUUGCUUCCCUUCAUCUUUGUUUCAUGUGAGAACUCAUAGAUAUUGAUAGAAACCCAGUUCUUGAGCACCAGAGGAGCUUAGCUGUUUACCUACUGAGCAAAGUCUUCGGGUCAGUUGGUACUUCUCUAGGCUAACUGUCCCUGGUUCUUCACUGUUUUUCUUGUAGUUUCUGCUCCUGAUAACAGGAUUGUGGAUGCCUUACCAUGUGGUCCUCUGGCUUGUGGAGUAUGAGUCCACUGAUAACCUGGAUUUAGCCUUUCUAAUUGCCAGUCUCUCUUCUGAUGGUCUUUGUUCUUAUUUGGUCUCUUACUUCUGGGAUUUUUUGGGGGUGUGGGUGGCAGAAUUAGUUUCUGGUUUCUUGCUUAGAAUGCUGAAUGCUUUUUCCUCUGGAACAUGCUGCUAAUAGAGACGACAGCUAGCCCUUCUUUCAGUAUUAGUGUUUAUUAGUAUGGGGCAUGUGGGCUUUUGUGGGUCUGUCGACCUAUGACCUUAAAUCUCUCUUCCUCUCGCUUUUCCUUUCUCUUUGUUUUUAUAUUGUUCUUGGCUCCCUCUGCCACUUUGUCCUUCUCUCUGCUGCUACUCCUUUUUUUCUUUCUCUCUCUAAUAUCACCUGAAGCUAGUAGUCUUUUUUGAUAUUUUCUAAGCCCAUGCUAAGGCUUUAAGGCCUUCAAAUUGGACAAAAGUUUUAGAACCAGAGUGGAUGUCCCAUAAUCAUAGCGGAGAUUUCUGUAUUUAUAGAAAGAGAGUAAGGAGGACCCUCCUCUAUGGUUUUUAGCUCAUGGUACCCCCAUUUUCCCAUGCCUUUCCCCAUAUUCCUCCAUGGAGUUGGCACUGCAGAUGUUUCGCCAUCUUUUUUUACAAUGGUGUUUGCAGCUGUAAAGUACUACUCCAUGAGUUUCUUAUACCUGCCCAGGCUUUCUUGCUUCCUUUUCUUCUGAGUUCUUUCUUACACUCCCUGUGUGUUUCUGCCCUUAAGUCAUCCUUGGUUUACUUGAGUUAAAGCUUUCAGCCACCUUUCUCCUGUCAUCAGCAAGUCCUAUAUGGAAGAGGUCAAGCAAAGGCAUGUGAAGGCCAUGAAAGGUCAAAGCCUGGAAGGACCAGGUCUGGAGGAGAGAGCUUGAAGGCUCAUACUCCACAGGGCUGGUAGUAGCUUAGCUGAAGCAUUGCGAUUCCUAUUUAAGGGAGAAUCUUGAAAAGUAAGAUUUGAUUCCUUCACUUGAGAGGAAGAAGUCAAGGUCUAGAGAGAGUAAAGACUUGGUAGAAACCACAAGGAUUGGUACUGAUAAAAGUGGAACCACAAUAUAGGUCCAAACUUCCAUUUCUUUCACUAUGGUAUUUUUUUCUAAAAUUUUUGAAAUUGGUAAUGUGUUCAUAUGGUUAUAAGGACAAAAGAAAAUUUCCAGUAAACUUCCCCUAAAUAUCCCCAGACACCCAUUUCACCUUCCUGAAAGUAACCCAUACCAUCAAUUUCCUGUGUGAUCUUUUAGGGUAUUUUAUGAGUAUACAUAUAUAUUUAAAUGUGUAGUCUUCAGCCACUCAUUUGUUAUGUAAAGGCUGCAUUCGGUGAAUCUCAUUGGCUAGACUAAUUAUACUUCCUGUUCUGCCAUCUUUUCCCCCUGAAUUUUCAGUGAUUUUAUGGUUGCCUUCUUCUAGCACCUCACUCCAACGUCUGUUAUUUUCCUCAACUUCUCAUUUCACAUUAUCCUGCUCUCCCAUCCAAAAAGGACAGUGGAUUCUAUGACAAGGUGGUACACAGCACUUGCCAUUUUAUUAUCAGAUUUCUAUUUAACUCUUUGCUGGGUACACUAAUGGAUAAAAGCUCUCAUGUGAAUAAUCUCAAACAGCAGGUAAUGCAGAGAUAUUUCUGUUUGCCCCUAAGGAGCAUUAUGUAUUUCAUUUUCCUGUUUGUAUUUUCCUUUGGCCAAUUAUUACACAUGCACCAGCACAUCUCAGUGCCCCGAACACAAAUUUCUCUUGCUGAUCAACAAGGGUGUUUCAAACAUGCAUUGGUUGGCAGAUCAAAUUAGUUUGGAACUCAGAAGCUUCUGUGACUAAUAUAUAGAGUGGGUAAAAUAUACCAUGGAGGGAACCAGAAAGUGCCAUGGUGAGAUGUGAUCUCAGUGAACAUGCAGCAGUUAGAGUUGGAAGAGGUAAUCAAGAGUUUAGUGACUUGUCCCCGGGGUCUGAGAGUUGAUCUGGUAGUGAUGGAGGUGCUGAUGCUGAUGCUGACGAUAAAGACAUUACUGAGUAGCUGAUGCUGAGCACUGUCAGGGUUGAGGUCAACGAGCAUAAGUUAACUCAUUUAAAAAAAUUCUUCUGAGAUACAUAUUUCCAUGCUAGCUCUUUUAUACAGGAGGAAACUGAGGCAGAGACAUGAUAAGUAACUUACCCCAUCAGGGCUGGGAUACAAACCCAGGUACUGUGGCUCUAAGCGACAAAGUCUUAAUAAGCUGGCUGUAAUCAGCUGAAAGUGAUGACUGUUGUGGACAUUUAUGCAGCACCCAAUGGGCACUGGGCCAUUGUCCUUGGUCCUGGGAGGACCUCUGAUCAGAUAGGGUUCGUGCCUUAUUUUUCAGUCUAGUGGAGGACAAGAGUAAUUUACUAUUGUAAAUACUAAAAUGAAGUGCUAACAGGUGAGUGUAAUAAAGAACGGUGGGUGUUCUUUCAGACCUGAGCACAGUGUGUUAAAAUGGUGCAGACGAUUGUGCUGAGAGCUAUUGACAUAGGCUUUCUUCAUUUUCCACUCAUGUUUCUUUUCUCACCACAGCUCCUGGAGAGUUUCAUCAGCCCUGCCCACAGUAGUCACCCCUUGAUUCAGGAUCUGAGACAGAGAUAACACCAGCAUGGUUCUAUGUUGAGGAGACCCUCAUCUCAUUGCCCUCAUUGUCCACAUUUACGAUGUUCAGCUCCUUUUCCAAAGUGAGACUUUGAGUUCCUGAUAGUGUCUUGGUGGCUUGUGAUAUCUAGUUUCUAAGUUUAGGCUUCCUCAAUAAGCAGCACGUCUCCUCCUCAGCAUCCCUUGUCUAACAUUACUUUAUUCUGUAUUUAGAUUUAAAUAGCUGACUCUUGGGUGUAACCUUGGUUGGAGCCAUAAAGUUAGCAGAGAAAUGGAGCCUUGCGUGCUUUUCUACCCAGCUUGUUCCCCCAUACACAUAACAAAACUCUCAUUAAAAUAGUUAAGCAUAAUAACCCUCUCCACCAGUAACCACCCACUCAUAUUAUGAAAAAGCACACCGUUAAAAUAGGAUUUAAGGAAAUAUAAAACCCCAGGUACAAUUAGGCAUUUUAUUCACAGUUCCUUGACUGUCCCCUUAUCCGUUUCCAAUCAUAAUGAUCUUACCCUGUCUCUCACCUCUGCUUUGGGGAGUACUAACUCACUGGUCCUGAAUCUGUCUUGUAGACAGGCUCUCUGCUGUGGCUGAGAUUUACAGCCAGUUUGAUUUGUCAAAAGUCCCAUUCAGGCUUCUUUCCCUCCUACCCUCAGCCUUCCUCCAUCUCAGCGAACAGUGGUUUGUUUACCCUCCUUCCAUUAUAAGCCAAACCACUGCAUCAGGGCUCUUUCUUUCUGGUUUAUUUUUGCUGUUCCGUCCACCCAUAGGAACGGCAGAAAGAGAGAGAUUUAGCUUUUCCUUGUGCAGUGAUAUGGACCUGUGUGGUUAUCUAAACAGAAGAAAGGAAGAGAAAGGGAGAGGAGAGGACAGCACGGCAGAGGACAGGAGAAAAGUAACAGUGCCCACCAGGUAUCUAUUGGGUGCUCUUAUGAACACCACCUAGUGAUUCUCACAGCAGGACCUUAGGUGGGCAGUAUCAUGCCCAUUAUGCAGAAGAACACAUACAUAGAAGCAUUAUCUUUCCAGUUUUCUUCUUUCCAUUGCUGAUUUAAGCAUAGAUUAAUCCACAAUGGCCAUAAUCACAUAACAUAACCAUUCCCUGAGCACUUUAUGGUGUCAUGCACAGAGCUAAAGCUCAUUUUCCAGGUGAAGGAAAUGAGGGACAGAGAGAUGAAGUUACUCACCAAGAUCCAUUCAGAGAGUGUCACAUGGGUAGCAGGGCCAGGGUUUAUGGUCAAUCCACCAUGUUGGUAACUACUAGAAGAGUAGAAACCUCAGAGUUUAGAAAGAGAAAAGAUAUAAUGGUGGCAGCAUAAUAUAGAGUUUGCAUUAAAAAAAAAAAAACAAAAAACAAAAACCUUUUAGGAAGACGGAGGAAGUGAAAGCAGAAUUUGCUGGACCCAGAAGUGGAUCUGCUGUGCAUGUGGAGGUUGUGCAUCUUCCAGCUGUGAUGGGAUGCUGCUGGGGCAGGCUCACACUUGGCAGUGCCCUUUGUUAGGCAGAGGUUGAGAGAAGCACUCAAAGGGGGCCCAUGUGGGGUUAGACAGUAAGAUAUUUCCUGUCUCAACACCCAAGUGCCCUUACACCCUGAGAACCAUGUGAUAGGAGCUCCUCUUUGCGAGUCACAGGAUUUCAACUUAGCUUCCUUUGAUUUCCUCCCAUCUUCUUGCUCUCUACUUUUUACUUAUUUUCUUUCCCUACCUCCCUCUUUCCCUCCCUUCCACCUUCGCUUUCUCCUUUCUGAUCAAUACUGCCCUAGAUCAAAACAGCUUAAAUUUAUCAUUCAAUAUUUUUACAACUGCCUAUAGCACUAACAUAUAACACUAGAUUCAAAAUAGGCUUCCAAAAAUUCUUUGAGUUAUAAAGGCAAGGUCGUAAUCUUGGUGAGUCAUAAGAGCCACAGUGUGAUCAUAUCCCCUGAACCAGCAGUUCUGCACCUUAGAUGCUUCUCUGAAGAAAUAACCCAAAAGUAAAGAAAAAUUACAAAGGUAUUCACAGCAACAGAAACAAAUAACAAAUUAAAAACAGUUCACAUGUUCAACAACAGGAGGAUGAUUGGGCAAAUGACUUUGAAUUAUACUAUGUACACAAAAGAACAUGAUGACGACGUCAGUGUUUUGCUUUAGAUAUAAAAGCGACUGAGCAAAAAAGAUCAAAGUCCAAAGAGCACUGCCAUGCUGAUCACAACUUUAGAGAAACAUUUCUUUGAACAUAAACAAUGAUCAGAAAUAGGUUUUUUUUUUUUUUUUUGGUAAUGUUACUUAGACUUUAGGCAAAUAAACAAAACCUAGGUAAGACUAUCAAGACCAACCAUGGGAUUCUGAAAGGGUUUUCAGUUUCUCCUAAGUGGCAUUGUUAGCAUUUUGGGCCUUAGCAUCCCUGACCUUUUGGUCAAGAUGACCAUUUUCCUCAACCUGGCACUGUCCGCCAGCCAGUAGAAGUGAUCACAGAUGCUGCCCUUAUGGCCAGCCAUACUCACCUUGACCUCUGUAUGUUCUAACAUGUUUCCUCUUGGCAUCUAGCUUCUGAAUCAUGCUUGGUUAGUAGAUUCUACCAGGACCAUCACCUGCCUCUGUUCCUUUUAAGCAAACACCCCAUGGUAGACACCUGAGAUCAAAGCAAUCUAUUGUAGAAUCUUACCCAGAUGCCUCACUUUCCCCAAUAACUGAGAUUAUUAAAUGGCCUUGACCCUGGCUGAAUGCCAACUGAAAUGAAGGGCUUGGCAUUUUCCUCAACUAUAACUGUACUUCCAGCUUUCACUGAAGCCUGAGCACUCAUAGUGUUCUUUUUCCCUUUAGAAGCAGUGCAAAGAGACACACAAAAAUAUUAUUUGAGCAGUCAAAAUGUAUGUCACAAAAUCAAUAACAAAAAUAAUUGCUUUAAUUAUUAGAGGAUAGCUAUGCAGUCGGUGUAGUACUGGGCUCUUCACAUGCAUCCUCAUUUAAUCACUGCAAUAACCCUAACAGAGGCGGUACUGUGAUUUCUGCUUGUAUUGAGAAGGAACCUGAGCCUGAGAGACUUCAAAAUGAUUUAUUUCAGGUCAAACUGUUUAGGUUUUUCUGUUGUUGAAUUCUCCCCCACCCUAACUUUACAUAAUACAGUCUCCCAGGCACAAAAGCUACCUUAGUAUGGCUUAAGCAUAGACAAGAUCUUGUCUUUCCUCAGAGCAGACUUAGCCCUACUUGAUGUACAAUCCCGAUAACACACUUGGUUAUUUGUUUUCCAGGAUUUCAGUAGAACAGGAAUAAUAUAUAUUAUGAAAAUGAAAGGGUAGACUUAAGAUUCGAGAGCAGAGAUAGCCUGAAUGUAUAACCAAAGCCUGACAACAAAGAAGACAAAACAACCAGAGAAACAGAUAAAAGGACUAAAAUCAUAUCUGUUACUGUGGGGGCCAAUUCUACAUAUUGCAAAUAGUUCUAAGUUGUGUAGCCUAAAAUGAUAGUUGGAAUGCACAGCGAUGACCUUGAUCCAUUAAGAUAUGUUGUUCUGUAAAAUCCACAUAUGCACGUAAAAAAGGACAUGGUAUAUUUCAGGAGGAGUUUUAUUUACAUGAUCUUAUUUACAAAAGGAAGAGUUGUAAUGUUUAAAGAAUAAAUACCCCCUUAACUCUUGGAAA